GACGAACGCUGGCGGCGUGCUUAACACAUGCAAGUCGAACGGUGAAGCGCCUUCCUUUUUGGUGGGUGUGGAUGAGUGGCGAACUGGUGAGUAACACGUGAGUAACCUGCCCCCUUCUUCUUGAUAACCGCAUGAAAGUGUGGCUACUACGGGAUAUUCUGGGUCUGUCGCAUGAUGGGUCUGGGACAGAUAUUGUUUCGGUGGUGGAUGGGCUCGCGGCGUAUCAGCUUGUUGGUGGGGUGAUGGCCUACCAAGGCGGCGACGCGUAGCCGGCCUGAGAGGGGGGUGGACGGUCACACGGGGACGGAGACACGGCCAAGACUCCGACGGGAGGCAGCAGUGGGGAAUCGUGCACAAUGGGCGGAAGCCUGAUGCAGCGACGCCGCGUGAGGGAUGGAGUCCUGCGGGUUGUGAACCGCUUUCGCGAGUGAAGCAGGGUGGCCUUGUUUGUGGGUGGGUUGACGGUAGCUGGACAAGAAGCGCCGGCUAACUACGUG
rnacentral:rRNA from 1 species